rnacentral:rRNA from 1 species
AUUGAACGCUGGCGGCAUGCUUUACACAUGCAAGUCGAACGGCAGCGCGGGCUUCGGCCUGGCGGCGAGUGGCGAACGGGUGAGUAAUAUAUCGGAACGUACCCAAGAGUGGGGGAUAACGUAGCGAAAGUUACGCUAAUACCGCAUACGAGCUAAGGAUGAAAGCAGGGGAUCGCAAGACCUUGUGCUCCUGGCGCGGCCGAUAUCUGAUUAGCUAGUUGGUGAGGUAAAGGCCCACCAAGGCAACGAUCAGUAGCUGGUCUGAGAGGACGACCAGCCACACUGGAACUGAGACACGGUCCAGACUCCUACGGGAGGCAGCAGUGGGGAAUUUUGGACAAUGGGGGCAACCCUGAUCCAGCAAUGCCGCGUGAGUGAAGAAGGCCUUCGGGUUGUAAAGCUCUUUUGUCAGGGAAGAAAAGGCUGUGGCUAAUAUCCACAGCUGCUGACGGUACCUGAAGAAUAAGCACCGGCUAACUACGUGCCAGCCGCCGCAGUAAUAC